AUGUGAGUAUGAUCUGGUUGUGACAUCUGUCACCCAUUGAUCCCCAGGGUUGAUGCAGCCGGAUGUGGGCAGGUGGCCCUGUUCCUCCCUCACACAU
rnacentral:snRNA from 1 species